rnacentral:rRNA from 1 species
UGGGGAAUUUUGGACAAUGGGCGCAAGCCUGAUCCAGCAAUGCCGCGUGCAGGAUGAAGGCUUUCGGGUUGUAAACUGCUUUUGUACGGAGCGAAAAGGUCUGCCCUAAUACGGUGGGCUCAUGACGGUACCGUAAGAAUAAGCACCGGCUAACUACGCGCCAGCAGCCGCGGUAAUACGUAGGGUGCACGCGUUAAUCGGAAUUACUGGGCGCAAAGCGUGCGCAGGCGGUUAUGCAAGACAGAGGUGAAAUCCCCGCGCUAAACCUGGGAACUGCCUUUGUGACUGCAUAGCUAGAGUACGGUAGAGGGGGAUGGAAGUCCGCUUGUAGCAGUGAAAUGCGUAGAUAUGCGGAGGAACACCGAUGGCGAAGGCAAUCCCCUGGACCUGUACUGACGCGCAUGCACGAAAGCGUGGGGAGCAAGCA